ensembl:lncRNA
GGAUGAAUGAACCAUAAAAAAGUUUGGACAGUGGACUUCUUUUGCCUGCGUACAAAAUAUUAUCUCAGUGCAGCAGUGGCUUGUGGAUUUUUAAUUGUGGGAUGUUUGGUUUGUCAAACAAAAGGAAUGUGAGGGACAGAGUUUUUCUUUUUUAGAGGUACUUUUACAACAGGGAAGGUUUUUGUCGUUAGCAGAAACGCUCAAUAGACAGAAAAACAAACGCAGCCCUAAAAGAAAAUUACCGUGAAGUGAGGGAAACAGCCUUUCCUGCUCCGAUUGCUGACACACCGUGUGUACGGACAGAUAGGAAAAAACAAAAAACAGAUGAGAAAAACAUCGAGUUGACAACAAAUAACGCUUCUAAAUGAUUUUAUUACCGCGAGAGAUGAAACAGACAGCCGCUGGAUGGGGAUAAAAAGCGGGGAGGAACAAGCAUAUGCGCCGAUGCAGACACGGGCGAAUUCACGCAAGUGGACUACGGACCUGCACUUUUUCAGUUUUUGGAAAGGCACGGACAAUUUCAAAAUCCCUGCCAAAUAUAUUAGAGGUCAUUCACAAGUAUGCUGAACCCGGGACCAGUCUAAAGACCUACAGUAUUCACAAAGUGCAUGGCUUUUGGGAAAAUGUCUCAAGAGAUUUGGGAGUGCCUAAUACAUGUCUUAAUAGGAAAAAAAUUCUCAAAGCAGUCCUGCAGUAUGAAAAGGUAAGCAAUGUGGUAGAGGGUCCCUUGCUACAGACUGAUUUUCCUACUGCAGAGACAACACUUGGAGAUGAUGUUCCUUCCAUUAAUGAGGAAGACAUUGUUGUUGCGCCAAAGUCUCCACAAUCUGUAGGAAAUGUACCUUUACCUUCAAGAAAAGAGGAUGCACUUCAAAAACUGUAGAGAGCGGCAUCCAUACCCCAGACACACAAU